GUAUUUCAUUGCGUUAAACGCGACAUACAUUCCAUUAGACUUUAUUUCGGUGUGUGUGUAAAGACAUAGAACCACAGCAGGAGGACAGGGUCCCCCAGACCAUAGAACUACAGAGGGUGCACAGGUGUGAGUGGAUGUGUAAACAGAGCGUGCACAUGCCCCCUAUGAGGGCCAGCAACAACCCGUUUGACAAUUCAGUAAUGAUCCUUCCGCAGGUUCACCUACGGAAA
rnacentral:misc_RNA from 1 species